UACGUAGGGUGCAAGCGUUGUCCGGAAUUAUUGGGCGUAAAGAGCUCGUAGGCGGUCUGUCGCGUCGGCUGUGAAAACCCGGGGCUCAACCCCGGGCCUGCAGUCGAUACGGGCAGACUGGAGUACUGCAGGGGAGACUGGAAUUCCUGGUGUAGCGGUGGAAUGCGCAGAUAUCAGGAGGAACACCGGUGGCGAAGGCGGGUCUCUGGGCAGUAACUGACGCUGAGGAGCGAAAGCGUGGGGAGCAAACAGG
rnacentral:rRNA from 1 species